GAGAAAUCUACCCUUACGUUCCGGAUAAUUGGCCGAAAGGCCUUGUAAUACGGGGGAGGUUCAUUUUUAGGCAUCUUUAGGUGAACAAACGAGCAAUCGGCGCAAGGAUGAUCUCGCGGCUUAUCAGGUAGUUGGUGGGGUAACGGCCUACCAAGCCUACGACGAGUAGCUGGUCUGAGAGGAUGGUCAGCCACAUUGGAACUGAGAUACUGUCCGGACUCCUACGGGAGGCUGCAGUCGAGAAUCUUGGGCAAUGCACGAAAGUGUGACCCAGCGACGCCGCGUGAAGGAUGAAGGCCCUCCGGGUCGUAAACUUCUUUUAUAGGGGAAGAACACAAUGACGGUACCCUAUGAAUAAGCCACGGCUAACUACGUGCCAGCAGCCGCGGUAAUACGUAGGUGGCAAGCGUUGUCCGGAUUUACUGGGCGUAAAGGGCAAGCAGGCGGAUCGUUAAGUAGAAAGUGAAAGGUCGGAGCUCAACUCCAACAUUGCUUUCUAUACUGGCGGUCUUGAGUCCCGGAGGGGAGAGCGGAACGACACGU
rnacentral:rRNA from 1 species